rnacentral:rRNA from 1 species
AGAGUUUGAUCCUGGCUCAGAAUCAACGCUGGCGGCGUGCCUGACACAUGCAAGUCGAACGCGAAAGGGGCUUCGGCCCUGAGUAGAGUGGCGAACGGGUGAGUGACACGUGGGUGACCUGCCUUCGAGUGGGGGAUAACAUUCCGAAAGGAGUGCUAAUACCGCAUGACAUCCCGCGGUUGAAGACGCGGCGAUUAAAGCUGGGGAUCGCAAGACCUGCCGCUUGAAGAGGGGCCCGCGUCCGAUUAGCUAGUUGGUGGGGUAAUGGCCUACCCAGGCGACGAUCGGUAGCCGGCCUGAGAGGGCGGACGGCCACACUGGGACUGAGACACGGCCCAGACUCCUACGGGAGGCAGCAGUGGGGAAUUGUUCGCAAUGGGCGAAAGCCUGACGACGCAACGCCGCGUGGAGGAUGAAGAUCUUCGGGUCGUAAACUCCUUUCG